rnacentral:rRNA from 1 species
AUUGAACGCUGGCGGCAGGCCUAACACAUGCAAGUCGAGCGGAUGAAGGGAGCUUGCUCCUGGAUUCAGCGGCGGACGGGUGAGUAAUGCCUAGGAAUCUGCCUGGGAGUGGGGGAUAACGUCCGGAAACGGGCGCUAAUACCGCAUACGUCCUGAGGGAGAAAGUGGGGGAUCUUCGGACCUCACGCUAUCAGAUGAGCCUAGGUCGGAUUAGCUAGUUGGUGGGGUAAAGGCCUACCAAGGCGACGAUCCGUAACUGGUCUGAGAGGAUGAUCAGUCACACUGGAACUGAGACACGGUCCAGACUCCUACGGGAGGCAGCAGUGGGGAAUAUUGGACAAUGGGCGAAAGCCUGAUCCAGCCAUGCCGCGUGUGUGAAGAAGGUCUUCGGAUUGUAAAGCACUUUAAGUUGGGAGGAAGGGCAGUAAGUUAAUACCUUGCUGUUUUGACGUUACCAAAAGAAUAAGCACCGGCUAACUUCGUG